GCAGGCAGACAAUGGGUGAGCGUGUGAACAGGGGGGGCAGGGAGUAACACUGAACAGAAAUCUGCGUGGUCACAGUGAGUGAGAACCGGUCUCAUGAAGCCACGUGAGAUGAAGUGAUUCCCAAUGGACAGAAUUUCAAAUACUUUGCCUGUGUGUUGGAAGAAAAAAGAACCCGCGAAAUAAAACCGAGAGUAGUUAAUUUGGUGGCACAAAUUGUCACACUGGGCAUGUCCUGGUGAUGAAUACACCAUUUAUAUUUUGGCUCAGUUAUUAGACCUUGGACAGUUAUGAAUGAAAUAGAAGAAUUCACUUAAUAGAACUAAUGGCAGCUGACAGGCAAAUCAGAAAAAAAUACAGAUUAAAAGUGACCUCUACUUGUGCGGGAAAUACGGAAUCCAUCGAGAUGCAGCAUUUGUUUCUGGAGAAAGGGCAAGAAUACCAGCAAGAGCCACCUCCCUGAUCGCAAGCUCACAGUGUCUGCCUAAGACUGGGGUUCAAUCUUCACAUCAAGGCGUCUUCCACUGCACCCCAGUGACAGGUAGCAGUGGCCCCCAGCAGAGGGGUGCAGACAGAUGCUCUCUGGGGAACAGGGCAGGUGGUGGAGCCGGUCAAGGGACCAUCACAUCUUGAAACGUUUGCUCUUCAGACCAAAUUUGACACUGCCUGAUGCCGUCCUCCAGAGGAGAGGACAUCUCUAAGGAAGGUGACUAAGAGCUUGGUUGGAUUUAAUAGUGAACAUACAAAGCCUGGAUGAGGACCUCAACAUAAGUGAUCAAUGUAAAUCCUGGAAUAUUAACUGGACGAAUGAUGAAACUGACUAAAGAAUGGCUCAAAUAAUAAAUCAGAAAUUCAAUCAGUUUCUGAACAUGGGCAGUAAUGUGAAGAUGAUGGUACAUAGUAAAUAAAAUGUUUGGAGAAUAAAGGAUCCUAUCACUGACACUGUAAAGCAUGAUUUGUCUGGAAAUGGAAAUAAAGAAUGGAGGUUGUGCUGAGAUGUUAUUCAAGGGCAUUCACUGCUAGAGUACUUGGAGG